rnacentral:rRNA from 1 species
CCUAUGGGGUGCAGCAGGCGCGAAAACUUUACAAUGCGGGAAACCGCGAUAAGGGGACACCGAGUGCCAGCAUCCUAUGUUGGCUGUCCAUAUGUAUAAAUAACAUGUGUUAGCAAGGGCCGGGCAAGACCGGUGCCAGCCGCCGCGGUAACACCGGCGGCCCGAGUGGUGGCCACUAUUAUUGGGUCUAAAGGGUCCGUAGCCGGUUUGGUCAGUCUUCCGGGAAAUCUGACGGCUUAACCGUUAGGCUUUCGGGGGAUACUGCCAGGCUUGGGACCGGGAGAGGUAAGAGGUACUACGGGGGUAGGAGUGAAAUCUUGUAAUCCCUGUGGGACCACCAGUGGCGAAGGCGUCUUACCAGAACGGGUCCGACGGUGAGGGACGAAAGCUGGGGGCACGAACCGGAUUAGAUACCCCAGUAGUCC